rnacentral:rRNA from 1 species
UACCAGCACCCCGAGUGGUCGGGACGAUUAUUGGGCCUAAAGCAUCCGUAGCCGGUCCUGCAAGUCUUCCGUUAAAUCCAGCUGCUCAACAGAUGGGCUGCGGGGGAUACUACAGGGCUAGGAGGCGGGAGAGGCAAGCGGUACUUUAUGGGUAGGGGUAAAAUCCGUUGAUCCAUAGAAGACCACCAGUGGCGAAGGCGGCUUGCCAGAACGCGCUCGACGGUGAGGGAUGAAAGCUGGGGGGGCAAACCGG